GUAUCUUAAAUUGAGUUACAGAGAUUAGAAGUCUAUUUACCUCUUCGGUAUCAGGCAAAUGAUAUCAGUACAAUCUUACAAAUGUGGUUCAUGGGGAAAACAAAACAAAACAUAAAUAUGCCUCACCACAAGGAGUUAGAUUAUAAGAUGAGAGUAUUCUGCGAGACUGCCACAGACUGGCAUAAUUUGACUGGCCAUUGUAGUAUACAUAGGAUGAUAGGGCGACUCUGUUUAUAUGCCUGUGGCCAAAUGUUUCAUCAUGAAGCAGGGUAUUUUGUUGAUGAAGUGGAAAUUGUACUUGUCAGUGACAAACAUAUAUGUCAUAUAUGGAUUGGGAUUAUAUUGUAUAUAUAAAAUUAUCGUCCUAACACCAACUAACACAUGUUGACCCUGCCGGGCCUAGACCUGCGUUUUUAUAACUGCCUCGUGAGAGGAAAGUCGCGCAAUAUAGCUAGUAUGUUGGUAAACUAAAUGCGGGUAACGAAAAGCCGAACAGUUCAUGGGAUGUACUCGAAUUGCGCACGUAAUAUGGCUCCAGAAACGUUCUACCAUGGACGAACAUUGGUAGGUUUAUGCUGUUCGUGGCAACUUCAGUGUAUGACAUAACGCGCUUAAGUAUAAUGACAAUAUGAAACGCACUCACCGGUUUAAAAAGUGGAUCAAAUGUGGAUAGAAAACAGCCUUUUUCCAGGUUCUGAACGUCGGGACUUGGAAGCUUCGAUUUAUCCGAGAAAAUGUACCACGGGCAUUUUCGUGUACGGAAAAUUUUCCUUCUAUGUUGUCUCGAAGACCGUUGAAACCAGAGUGAACUGAGAUAAAAUUUGGCUAGCUUUUGCUGCAUAUAACUGAAGAAUGUCGGCCUAGCAAAAUGGGAUUAUAUUGGCAAUUUGGCAUUGACACAUGGCAGGUGUUGCCCGGAGAGCAAGGCGGUUGUUUUCUUUGCUUAUCGUUUCCGUUUAGUUUUCGGUAUGGAUGUUGCCUCUUAUUAAUCCUAAUUUAUUUUUUAAAAUAAAUUGCUC